CGGCCCAAUACCCACACAAGGUCAAGAUCAGGUGCGGCAUCGGGACGAGAAGUAAUCCCGAGACAAAAUCGCCAUUGCGAUCGAUCAAUUCAGAGGGGCAGAGGAGGGUGAAAGAGAUGGCAGGAGGGCAUGGAGAGGGCAUCGCCUACAAGGGCUUGACUAUGCAUAAGCCAAAGCGAUGGCAUACUGUAACUGGAAAGGGCUUGUGUGCUGUCAUGUGGUUUUGGGUAUUGUACCGGGCUAAACAAGAUGGUCCAGUAGUAUUGGGCUGGCGGCAUCCGUGGGAGGGCCAUGAUGAUCAUGGCCAUGGACAUGGGCACUAGGCAUCCCAUUGAAGAAUGAAGAUGAAUGGCCAAGCAUGAAAGUUCAGCUCCGUUUCAUUCUUCUUUUUAAUAAAUUGUUGGCAGAAAAAGAUUCUCGUGAACAUUGAACAUUCUUGUUUGUGAGCAUGGAUUUUAGCGUGUAUGUAUUCGUCUCUAGACAUGGGUACUUUGUUCGAUUUUCAUUAUCAAGCUGAAGCUAUACAGAAGACUUUUCAUUUGCUCUGGCUGAUA